rnacentral:rRNA from 1 species
AGUGAACGCUGGCGGUAGGCCUAACACAUGCAAGUCGAACGGCAGCACAGGAGAGCUUGCUCUCUGGGUGGCGAGUGGCGGACGGGUGAGGAAUACAUCGGAAUCUACUUUUUCGUGGGGGAUAACGUAGGGAAACUUACGCUAAUACCGCAUACGACCUACGGGUGAAAGCAGGGGAUCUUCGGACCUUGCGCGAUUGA